GAAAGUCAAGACAAAUAAUUGAAUUUUACUUUUUUUUCUGAACAUGGCGAGUCCUACUGAGGCCUGAGAAAGUUUCAUAGCCUAGGUCCAGCUGUAAGAGUUCUGUCUCCUGCACCCAUGAAUCUUCUUCUAAGUCACCAGCUGGAUGCCAGGAGAAUGUAGCUGUUAUGGGCAGUCACAGAGGACAAGAGGCAAACCCUCAGAUAGAAAAGAACAAUCCCCUGAAUAGUUGCUAAUAUUAAGGAGAGCUCCUUCAUGAAUCUAAACAUGGAUUAUGUUAAUCUGCACCCAGCAGUGACUGGCAACAAAACACUUUCAUUUAAG